UGCCGCGUUCGGAAUGAGUACGAUUCGAACCACCUAACGAGGAACGAUCGGAGGGCAAGUCUGGUGCCAGCAGCCGCGGUAAUUCCAGCUCCAAUAGCGUACGUUAAAGUUGCUGCAGUUAAAAAGCUCGUAGUUGAACGUUCGGGUUCCGCGGGACGGGGCCGCCCCGCGAGGGACGGCGCCGCCCCGGGGCUCGUGAUAUCUCAUCUCGCCGCCCGUCGCGAGGCGGACGGAGGGAUGGAUGAGGUUACCUGGAAAAAAUCGGGGCGAUCUAGGCGGGCGAACCUCGCCAACGAACGAUCGGACAUGGGAUAACGGAAGAGGGGCGUCGGCUCGACUUCGUCGGUUCCUCGGGCCGAGGCACGUACGGUGAAUAGGGACGGUCGGGGCCGCCCGUACCGGGUCGUGAGAGGUGAAAUUCUAGGAUCGACCCGAGACGAACCGCGCGAAAGCAUUCGGCAAGGACGCUUUCAUUAAUCAAGAACGAAAGUCGGGGGAUCGAAGACGAUCAGAUACCGUCGUAGUCCCGACCGUAAACGAUGCCGACCGACGGGCCCGGA
rnacentral:rRNA from 1 species